GAGUUUGAAUCCUGGCUACCAGGAUGAACGCUGGCGGCGUGCUUAAACACAUGCAAGUCGAACGAAGCACUCAGGAGCGAUUUCGGUCAAUCCUGUUUGACUGAGUCGGCGGACGGGUGAGUAACGCGUGAGUAACCUACUCGCAGUGGGGAAUAACAGUUGGAAACGACUGCUAAUACCGCAUAAUGCAGAGAGACCGCAUGAUCUUUACUGCCAAAAGAUUUAUC
rnacentral:rRNA from 1 species